rnacentral:rRNA from 1 species
CCGGGGGGAUUCAGCUCGUCGGCUCAGGUCGGCCGGGUGUGGGAUUCGCUGAGGCGACCCAGGCACUCUUGGGCGUGCCCGCACCCGAGCCGGCGCCGGCGGGCGUAUUUCCCCCCGUGAUGUAGGUCGCCGCGACCCGUUGCUGGGGACGUCGAAGGCCCGGUUGGACUGGUACCCCGGAGUUUGGCCUCUGUGCCGGCGAAGGGGGAAACCUCCGGUGUCCUGGCUGCCCUGCGACGGUCGUGCAGCAGAGGGGCCCCUGCGGCCCCCUCUCGCGGCGUGCAAAAGGUCGGUGACCCACCCGACCCGUCUUGAAACACGGACCAAGGAGUCUAACAUGUGUGCGAGUCAUUGGGCGCACUAAACCCAGAGGCGCAAUGAAAGUGAAAGGGGAGUGCCUCGCCCUUCGGGGCGGCGGCGCUCUCCGGGGCCGAUCCCUGACCGACGGAGACCGUUGUUGUCGGUGGACCCAUACCAAAGCGAGGCGGUGAAGGCGGUGCGCGGGGUGAGACCCUUUCCCCCGCUCGUCCGCCGGCCUCGUGGGUCCCCGGCCGGCUCCCUGGUCCGGACGCGUCCGUCGCUUGACGGYGUGUUCCGCCCGUACGCGGGGGGGCGCAGGCCCGGGACUUGCCAUGCGACGCGUGCGCGCGAAUCUGUUGUUGGCCCGGCCGGCUCUGCUUGGGCUCUCGGUUGGCCUGCCGCGUGUCUUUGGGCGGGUCCGUGGUGGCGGGGCUUGCUCUCUCGGGCUCGCUCUUCCCCCGGGCUCGUCCGGCGCGGUUUGGCCCUCCGAUCCUGCUCUGUCCGGCUUGGCCUAGCGCGCUCGCUGUCGGCAAGUACCAUGAGCAGACAUGUUGGGACCCGAAAGAUGGUGAACUAUGCCUGACCAGGA